UUAUACAUUAUACAUAAUAGUAAUUACUGACAUUUUCAAAUGCAAUUUUCAACAAAAAUUCGAUAAACCAAUUGUAUUACUGAUAGUGAUUUUUUUUUUAAAUUCAACAUUAUGUACUUUCUUAGUAUACUUAAAAAACAAGAUAAUUAGUUUAAUCCACAGGCAGGUGGCACGAGUGAAUAGAUUAUGCAGCGACCACACUUCAGGUAAAGUUUCUAGUAAAAAUAAAUUACUUUAAUUAGCUAUAGCAGUUUACAUAAAAUUCAAUUUUCUAUCAAAUCCACUCUCAAAGUUGAAAAUGUAAUUAGUUCUUCAACAACAUUUUGUAUAUAUUAAUGUGUUUGUUAAUGUAUUUAUGUAUACAAAAAAAGUGUAUUAUAGUAAAACAAUUUAUUCAUUCAGUAUCUAUACAAAAAUAUAGGCGAGUAGUGAGAAUAUAUAUAGAUACAAUGUAAAAAACGCAGUGGCCAUUAGGUACAGUAGGUUUUGAAUUGGUUACUGAAACGGAUUUGAAUUCAAUGAUACAUCAUGUGUAGGUAUUCAAAAAACGAUUUUGAACGGGGACGGUUUGCGGCGUAGGAUAAUUAUAUUUUAUAUUGCUAAUAGAGAAUAACUACUACGUAAUUUUAUAUAUCUAUGAUUAAUAGUAAUAAUUUAACAAGUACUGACUACGUAUUUACUAUCUAUAUUCAAUGACAAAUUUAAAUAGGUAGGUAUGUCCACAACUCAGAUAAAUAUAAUACCACGUUUAAAGAUAUAUUGCAUAAUACGCAUGCGGUAGCAGCAAUGAUAGUGCGAGUAGUGUGACUGUCGCAUAGACUAUAGACUAUAGUCACUCAUCUUACUCUAUGGACUGACACUGACUCGUUUAAAAACAAAUGUAAAAUUGAAGCAAUGAGAAACGCCAAAUGUUGACGUUACAGACUACAGUACUUGGUUACGAGGAAGGUGAAUGUUCCAAACCAGUAUUUAAUAAGUCAUGGCUGUAUCCGAAUCCUAGUGGAUUAAGUUUAAGAGGACGUCACACUAAAACGAGAACGUAACCAAUGGUCCAGAGAUGGCGUUUUCAAAACUGAAUAUCUUAAUCUAAGAAUGUUCGUGUUUUUUACAUUUUAUGUUUAGACAAUUAAUUAAAAUAUUAAUAUCAAUAUAAAA